rnacentral:rRNA from 1 species
CCUACGGGUGGCAGCAGUGAGGAAUAUUGGUCAAUGGGCGGAAGCCUGAACCAGCCAAUUAUCUUUCGUGAUGAAGGCCCUACGGGUCGUAAACCGCUUUUGCACGGGGGUAACACCCUCCACGUGUGGAGGUCUGCAUGUACUUUAUGAAUAAGGAUCGGCUAACUCCGUGCCAGCAGCCGCGGUAAUACGGAGGAUCCGAGCGUUAAACGGAUUUAUUGGGUUUAAAGGGAGCUUAGAUGGGUUGUUAAGUCAGUUGUGAAAGUUUGCGGCGCAACCGGCAGAUUGCAAUUGAAAAUGGCAGUCUUGAGUACAGUUGAGGUAGGCGGAAUUCGUGGUGUAGCGGUGAAAUGCUUAGAUAUCACGCAGAACCCCGAUUGCGAAGGCAGCUUACUAAACUGUGACUGACAUUAAUGCUCGAAAGUGUGGGUAUCAAACAGGAUUAGAUACCCGUGUAGUC